rnacentral:rRNA from 1 species
AUUGAACGCUGGCGGCAUGCUUUACACAUGCAAGUCGAACGGUAACAGGUUAAGCUGACGAGUGGCGAACGGGUGAGUAAUGCAUCGGAACGUGCCCGAUCGUGGGGGAUAACGCUGCGAAAGCUGCGCUAAUACCGCAUACGAUCUGAGGAUGAAAGCGGGGGACCGUAAGGCCUCGCGCGAUCGGAGCGGCCGAUGUCAGAUUAGGUAGUUGGUGGGGUAAAGGCACACCAAGCCGACGAUCUGUAGCUGGUCUGAGAGGACGACCAGCCACACUGGGACUGAGACACGGCCCAGACUCCUACGGGAGGCAGCAGUGGGGAAUUUUGGACAAUGGGCGAAAGCCUGAUCCAGCAAUGCCGCGUGCAGGAAGAAGGCCUUCGGGCUGUAAACUGCUUUUGUACGGAGCGAAAAGGUCCUUUCUAAUACAAGGGGCUCAUGACGGUACCGUAAGAAUAAGCACCGGCUAACUCUGUGCCAGCAGCCGCAGUAAGAC